ensembl:lncRNA
GCCCGCUGGGGAUCCAGCGCGUCUCGUCCACGAUGGUGCGGGCGUGGGGCAGGCGGCCCACCUCCCUGGCACACACCUGCAGCUGCUGGGCGCUGCGCAGGAUGAGCACGGCCUCGUCGUGAGGGACGGUGUGAAAACAACGGCCGUUCACCUCCAGGACCUGAUCCCCCACCUGAAACAUGGGAGGGAGAGAGAGAGAGAGAGAGAGAGAGAGAGAGAGGCGGAGAGAGAGAGAGAGAGAGAGAGAGAGGCGGAGAGGUAGAGUGAGUGAGAGAGAGAGAGAUGAGGGGUAGAGAGAGAGAGAGAGAGAGAGAGAGAGAG